UUUUGGCCAAUCCUCUCCUCGCGCGCGGCGUGCUUCCAGUGGGUCGUGGAACCCUAGACCCCUUUCCCCAAUCCCACGGCCGCCUCCAUCCUCCCGUGCUCCACCCCGAGCGUGCCCGGGCUCCGCCUCCUCCUCCUCAGCCGCCUCCUCUUCUCCCACAGCCCCCCACCAUUCCUCCCUUCUGCCCCCUCCUCCUUCUUGGAUCCCCACCACGGUGCCGACCUGCAGGCAAAGGACAACAGCGGCAGCGCUCUCCUCAUGCCCUCCACUCCCUCGACAACGGUGGCGGCGGCGCCCUCUGGUGGCGGAGGAGGGGGAGAUGGUGGAGCGGCAGCGACCUUCCCCUCACGCAUCCCAUCCCCCCUCGUCAUCCCGGAUCCCACCGGACCCGAGGCGUGAGGGUGCGGCAGCGACCUGCAAGGGAAGGGCGACGCUCGAAUCGAUCCAGCGCCAUGGAUCGGUCCCUGCGGAAGAAAGAGAAGAUGAGGGAGAGAGAAGUAAGGAGAGGAAGGAGAAAGAGAGAGGAAAGAGGAGAGGGAGGUGCAGCGUUGACCGAUGGCUCGCGCCAUGGUGCGGCAGACGGCCAUUUCGAUGAGAUCCACCACCUCUCGAGGUUCUCAUCUGCCCCAGGUUGCGACGAAGCCGCGGGAGGUGGAGAGAACUCGAUGCGAGGAAGGUACGGAGGAGGAUCUCAACCAGCGUGUCUUCAGCCGGAGGAGGGAAGCAGCGGAUGCGAGCUAGGAGGCGGAUCGGCUCGGCCCAGCCAUGGAGCUGCCGCUGCGGACUCCCCGCCGGCCUCCUUCGUCGUCAUGUGGAUUUGCAUGGCAAGUGAUGUUGCAUUGCCAAUGACACAUCUGGAAUUGUCGUUCGUGACUCCUGUAGAUGUUCCUGAAUUUUUCUUUGUAGUGGUUGGGUGCUGCCAUAAAACCUGUAACAGCAGCAAGAUGCAGUUCUCCGCAAAUCACUUUUAGAUCUGAGAAAGAAGAUGAACAAGAGAAUCCAAUAGAAGAAUUUGGUGAAGAACAAGAACUUUCUGAAUCCGACGCUGUCAAUCGGGCCACAGAGAGGAAGUGUGGUGGAGAUGAGAUGGGGACAGAGGAUCCUGCAGCGAUGUUGUUUCUUUGUUCUCCUGCUCAAGGUUUGCUAUCAAGAUCUCAAAAAGGAAAAACAACUUUACUCUGUUUUCUGGAGAACCUUCCCAUAGAGUCACUACCUCAACAGAGACAAAUAUGCGAUCAAGGAUAUAUUCGAUGGAUUUUCAAGCAAAACUUGGAGGCUAUUUUUCCAGAUAGUUUGGUGCUCUCAUGGUUAUUUUGUAGAGAUUGUUCCUCUGUUCAUUUCUUGGUAACCGUCUACUGCAGCUCAGCUACUGUCCAGCAGCUGACCUUAUGGUUCCUUGCUGCCCUAUCAUCUUCAUCUUGUUAUUUGGUUGCUGCUACGUGGACUGUGGUGAUUUACUACAUUUUGAUCUUCUCACUACUCAAGCAAGGUCCUUUCUGAAAAGCUUUCGGACGAUAUGAGCGCUAAAAAGCUCCAGCUUGUUGUUAACGCUGUUGGACUUGGAUUUGUUGGAAGCCACACAGGGCACCCGAGAAGGAGAGGAGAAUGCUCUGAAGAGAGGAAAUGAUAAGUUUCAUUGUUUUGUUUUAAGAGCAAGGGAGUUGAUAUGUAGUCCCCUAGCUUAUUUGUAUUCUACUAUGUGUAUGGCCAAAGAAAUCAUGAUUUUAUACACGCAUAUAUUUUUAAACAAAACCUAUGUAUUUUUUGCUCAAACAGUCACUCGGAAGUGCACAUAUUUUCAAUGCAUACAUGAUUUUGAA